UUUUCACGUCACGUCUUAUAUAGUGACCGUAACAGCCGUAUUCCAAAGUUGGGUGACCGUAUCGUGCUUCCGACUCAACUCCAAUGACUGUGAGUGUAUUUAUCUCGCCAUAGAAAAACAGCCAUGACAAAAGCAUCCUCACCAUGAAAAUUAUUUAGCACAUCCUAGACUACAGAUCUAGUUUAACAUAAGAGAUGAAGCUAAUAGGGGAAGCUUCUCAGAGGACUCCCCUUCCCCCUCCCGGUCGCUCCCACGAGCGACGGAGGGGAAACUCUAUCCACCGGUAAUUAUAUGGCCACAAUGGUGUAGGAAAUUACAACAUGAGGUGAUCCAUUUGUAUGUUUCUUCGGUGAUAAAUGUAUGGGUCAAGGCUCUCAGAGGAAUAUCUCACAAUCUUGAUGAGUGUAACAACAUAGAGCCUUAUUGUAUUCGCCCGCAAAGCGAAAAGAGCUACUGUUCCUUCUGCUCUUGCUAGCUUCAUCAUUCGUUUUGGGAAUAUGUAUAUAUUCUUGACUGGGAUUUAAAUUUCUGAUACAUCUCAUUCCGUCCUAGAUCCCGCUAUGUGACCAUCUAUGACAUCCACCUCGCUCGCCGUGGUUGCUCUCCUCAGAUACUUCGCCAUUCUUCCACUAGGAGCUAAACGUGAUCCUGCUACAUGAGGAAGAAGCUAAUUCUUUAUAGGAGGCCAACAAGUGAUCCACGUCACGUGGGGUCCGGUUGCAUCAUUGCUUCACCAAAUAUCACAUGCCAACUAUUGUGAUCGUUCAAUUAUACCGUAAGUGGUGUAGUUCUUGAC
rnacentral:lncRNA from 1 species